UGCUGGUCCGAUGGUAGUGGGUUAUGAGAAUUUAUUAACAUUAGUGUUACUAAAGCUGGCACACAACCCCCCACUGGUAAAUUUGACUGGCUAAA
rnacentral:Y_RNA from 1 species